AAUGAGGCUGAUGUGUACAGGUCAAUAUGAUUUUGUCAUUAACCAUUAUUAUUUUGUUUAGGUCUUCGCUGGGACCUUGUCCCACACUUGACAGUCCCGGGGGAUAUCCAAGAGUUUUUCCGGCAUGAAUUUCACCGCGUGUCAGCACGUCUCCGUGUGAAAUAUUUUCACCACGCUGACCGCUUCCCCCUGAACAACCGUAAGCUGUGGUGCUGUGAUGGUGUGCACCCCAGUGACGACAUGGGGAUGCUUAUCCUUGUGGAGUCGCUGUUGGCUGUCACCAAACAGCACCUGGAGAUACUAGCAUACAUAGGAUUACGCUUGUGUGGGUCCUAGUCCCUUUUUUUUGUUAACCAACUGGUCUUUUUGUGUGUGUUGGGGUAGUUCCUAGGGGGUAGUCUAGCUGUUCUUAAGUGCAUUCACAAGACACCCGAAGAAGCCCAUAGAGAUACUGUUUGUGUGUCACAGAUGAUAGUCAGGUGUCUGGUUAUGACAAGUUCAAAGAGACAACUCCGUAGUUCUGGUUGGAGGAGGGUUCCUUGGGGGUAGUCUAGCUGUUAUUUUAAGUGCAUUCAAUGGCACAAGACAUGUUCCUGAUCAAAUAUGUAAUGUAAUUAAUGUAUGUAAUAAUUUGCAAUAAAAUUGUAUGAUAUUUUACA